AUUGAACGCUGGCGGCAUGCUUUACACAUGCAAGUCGAACGGCAGCACGGGGGCAACCCUGGUGGCGAGUGGCGAACGGGUGAGUAAUAUAUCGGAACGUACCCGGAAAUGGGGGAUAACGUAGCGAAAGUUACGCUAAUACCGCAUAUGCCCUAAGGGGGAAAGCGGGGGAUUCGCAAGAACCUCGCGUUUUCGGAGCGGCCGAUAUCGGAUUAGCUAGUAGGUGAGGUAAAGGCUCACCUAGGCGACGAUCCGUAGCUGGUCUGAGAGGACGACCAGCCACACUGGAACUGAGACACGGUCCAGACUCCUACGGGAGGCAGCAGUGGGGAAUUUUGGACAAUGGGCGCAAGCCUGAUCCAGCCAUGCCGCGUGAGUGAAGAAGGCCUUCGGGUUGUAAAGGCUCUUUCAGCCGGAAAGAAACGCACGGGUUAAUAACCUGUGUGGAUGACGGUACCGGAAGAAGAAGCACCGGC
rnacentral:rRNA from 1 species